UAGCGCCUCUUUCUCCGCCUACUCAGCUGCCGUUGCAGCUGAGUGAGGGCCUCGGGGCGACGC
rnacentral:pre_miRNA from 2 species